UUGGAGACAGCCGCUUAUGUAAUAUUAACGUCACAACGUGAAGCAUUAAGAUUCCAAACUAACAUGGAAAAAGCAUCUAAAUGCCAAAAUUGAACAAAUUCGUCAAUAAAGGAGACAAAUGACAUGGCUAACUGAUAAAAAAUCUAAACUUAGCAUAGAGAACAAAAUAAUAAUCUACAAAAUAAUAACAAAACCAAUUUGGACCUAUGGAAUACCGCUAUGGGGUAUAGCAGUGAAAAGUCACAUCGCCAUACUCGGAGUUUUACAAUCUAUAACCCUACGCACAACCGUGAAUGUUCUAUGGUACGUCCGUAAUGAAGAAAUAAGGAAGGACUUAUCUAUUCCCAUGAUAGAAGAAGAAAUAACCAAGACAACCUGCAAAUACAAAA
rnacentral:lncRNA from 1 species